AAUCAAUGCCUCCUCUGCUUCUGUCACUCACUCCUUGACCUCUUUCUUUGUUUUGCCACUACAGUAAGUUAGCAUCUGUGAAUUCCAGCAAAACGAAUGGAAUUUCGAAUUUCUGCGAAAUCUUGUGUUUUUGUUUUUAAGAAGAGACGCAGAGAUGAGAUGGGGAGUUGUUUUUCUUAUGCUUCAGUUCAGUGAUGCUGCUAACGGAUUCCUUGAAGCGGUGGGGUCGGGAUUUUGAAUCCAA
rnacentral:lncRNA from 1 species